GAUGAACGCUAGCGGCAGGCCUAAUACAUGCAAGUCGAACGGGAUCCAGAUCAAAGCUUGCUUUGGUCUGGUGAGAGUGGCGCACGGGUGCGUAACGCGUGAGCAACCUACCCUUGUCAGGGGGAUAGCCCGGCGAAAGUCGGAUUAAUACCGCAUGACAUCAUUGAGAGGCAUCUUUCGAUGAUCAAAGAUUUAUCGGACAAGGAUGGGCUCGCGUGACAUUAGCUAGUUGGUAAGGUAACGGCUUACCAAGGCUGCGAUGUCUAGGGGCUCUGAGAGGAGAAUCCCCCACACUGGUACUGAGACACGGACCAGACUCCUACGGGAGGCAGCAGUAAGGAAUAUUGGGCAAUGGACGGAAGUCUGAACCAGCCAUGCCGCGUGCAGGAAGACGGCCCUAUGGGUUGUAAACUGCUUUUAUACGGGAACAAACGUCGGUACGUGUACCGGUCUGAGUGUACCGUAAGAAUAAGGAUCGGCUAACUCCGUG
rnacentral:rRNA from 1 species